rnacentral:rRNA from 1 species
AUCAAGCUUAUCGAUACCGUCCGUAAGGAGCCGUGGAGCGCAUAGAAGAGAGAAUGCCGGUGUGAGUAGCGAAACGUGGGUGAGAAUCCCACGCACCGAAAACCCAAGGUUUCCAGAGGAAGGUUCGUCCGCUCUGGGUAAGUCGGGACCUAAGGCGAGGCCGAGAGGCGUAGUCGAUGGACAACAGGUAGAGAUUCCUGUACUUACGGUAUGAAUGAUGGAGUGACGGAGAAGGCUAGCGGAUCCUGCUGAUGGAAAUGCAGGUGCAAGCGAGGUAGCCGACAGCCAGGCAAAUCCGGCUGUCGAAAGGCAAAGGCGUGAGGCGUAUGGAAAGCUGCGGCAAGUACAGAAGUCCGUGAAGCCAGCUUCCAAGAAAAGCUUCUAGUGAUAAUCAUACAGUAACCCGUACCGAAAAUGGACACACAUGGGUGAGGAGAGAAUCCUAAGGUGAGCGAGAGAACUAUAGCUAAGGAACUCUGCAAAAUGACUCCGUAACUUAGGGAUAAGGAGUGCUCAUAGAGAUAUGAGCCGCAGUGAAACGGCCCAAGCGACUGUUUACCAAAAACACAGCUCUAUGCUAAGUCGAAAGACGACGUAUAUGGGGUGACGCCUGCCCGGUGCUGGAAGGUUAAGAGGAUGUGUCAGCGCAAGCGAAGCAUUGAAUUGAAGCCCCAGUAAACGGCGGCCGUAACUAUAACGGUCCUAAGGUAGCGAAAUUCCUUGUCAGGUAAGUUCUGACCCGCACGAAAGGCGUAACGAUUUGGGCGCUGUCUCGGCAGCAGACUCGGUGAAAUCUUAGUACCUGUGAAAAUGCAGGUUACCCGCAACUAGACGGAAAGACCCCAUGGAGCUUUACUGUAGCCUGAUAUUGAAUUUUGAUCAAAGAUGUACAGGAUAGGUGGGAGGCGAAGAGGAUUGCACGCCAGUGUAGUCAGAGCCGCUGUUGGGAUACCACUCUUGUUUGAUUGAAGUUCUAACCUGCACCCAUGAACUGGGUGAGGGACCGUGUCAGGUGGGCAGUUUGACUGGGGCGGUCGCCUCCUAAAGAGUAACGGAGGCGCCCAAAGGUACGCUCAGAUUGGAUGGAAAUCAAUCGACGAGUGCAAAUGCAGAAGCGUGCUUGACUGUGAGACAAACAAGUCGAACAGGGACGAAAGUCGGGAUUAGUGAUCCGGCGUAGGUAA